rnacentral:rRNA from 1 species
AUGGCAGACUUCGCGCUUGGGUUAGCCAAGACGGCGGUGGAGGGGACCCUGAGCAGGGUCCAAUCCGCGAUCGAUGAAGAGAACACGCUGCAGGCGGCGGCGCAGCAAGACCUGGUAUUCAUCACUGGGGAAUUCCAGAUGAUGCAGUCCUUUUUGAAAGUCGCCAGCAAGGAGCGUGUUGGAAAUGAAGUGGUGAAGACCUGGGUGCGGCAGCUCCGUGACCUGGCCUUCGAUGUUGAAGACUGCGUCGAGUUCGUUAUCCACCUGGAUAAUGACUCGACCUGGAACUGGGUGUGGCGCAUGGUACCAUCCUGCAUGGCACCACCUCGGAGUCGUGACCUCGACGACGCGGUGACUGAGUUGAAGCAACUCAAGGCCAGGGUCGAGGAGGUGAGCCAGAGGAACACCCGCUACAAUCUCAUCAGCGACUCCGGCUCCAAUCACGUCUCACAGCCACCGGCGGUGCAGCUGGCCACCACCAGCCCAUCAACAAUGGACAUUCUGAUGGAGCUAUGGGAGGCCAAUGGGAAGCACCGUGGUGUUUGCAACCUACAAAAGUUAAUAACCAACGAGGGCAAUGACCUUCAGGUAAUAUCUUUGUGGGGAAGUGAAGUAUCUGAUAUUGAGGUGGCGCAGAUUAUCAAAAAGGCUUAUUGCAACCCCGAAAUCUGCCACAUAUUCAGAAGUCGUGCCUGGGUAAAGCUGAUGCAUCCAUUUAACGCAGACAAGUUUCGCAAGAACUUGCAGACUCAGUUACAAGCCAGCUCUCCGUCUUGCACAGCUGUCGAUUUCAAUGGCAAGAUUUCAAAAGAAGAUCUGAUGAAGCGGUUGACUCGGCAGAGAUAUCUGGUCAUCCUUGAAGGAAUAUCCAGUGUUGUGGAAUGGGAUAUCAUCAGAACGUACCUGCCAGACAAUAAGAAUGGCAGCCGGAUCGUUGUGUCCACGAAGCAGCUAGGGGAUGCAAUUUAUUUCACGGGGGGGCAAUACCGAGUAUCAGUGCUCAGAGAGUUCAUUGGUGGUCAUUAUCUUUGUGCAUUUUUUAAGAAGGGUUCAGGGCGUCGAAAUUUCAUGGGCAACCUUAUUGGGCUACUAAGUCGUCCUGGUGUGAUCUCUGUUUGGGGGGCUGGUGAUGACAAAUCAACUCUUGUCAAAGAACUGUUCGACUUCAUACCGAAUGGGAAUGAAAAAAUAUUAAACUCUCAAGCGGCAGAAGGUAUGUUCUACGUAUGGGUUGAUGUGGCCCAUCGAUUCAUUUUGGAGGACUUUUUCCUGAGCUUGUUGCGGUCGUUCUGUAAGGAUGAUACCGAAUCUAACAAGUAUGCGGAGGCAGAGUCACAUCUUCAUUGGGUUAUUUAUGAUAAAAAAAUCCGCCAGUGCCUGGUAGUUAUUAACGGUCUUCAGUCCACCAAGGAGUGGCAGUUGAUAAAAAGUGCAUUAGAAAAUAUGCAUAUUAAUAUUUAUAUCAUUGUCAUAACGAAUCAUGAAAGUGUGGCCACAAGCUGUGUAGCUAAUGGGAAUCGUGUGCUCAACGUCAACAACCUGGCCCUUCGUCCUUCCAUGCAGAUCCAUGACUAUAUGGACGAACUGUUUUGGCGACUACGACAUCGUAGAGUGAUUUCUGUGUGUGGGGCUGGAGGUGACACAUCAACUGUUGGGUUUAGUCCCACAUCGGUUGUGGGGGGAGACAUAACACGAUUUAUAAGGGUAGGGGUGUCCCCUCCUAACAGGCUAGUCUUUUGGGGGGAGAGGGCCCAAGGCCUGUCAUAA